GAUGAACGCUGGCGGCGUGCCUAAUACAUGCAAGUCGAGCGAACGGACGAGAAGCUUGCUUCUCUGAUGUUAGCGGCGGACGGGUGAGUAACACGUGGAUAACCUACCUAUAAGACUGGGAUAACUUCGGGAAACCGGAGCUAAUACCGGAUAAUAUUUUGAACCGCAUGGUUCAAAAGUGAAAGACGGUCUUGCUGUCACUUAUAGCUGGAUCCGCGCUGCAUUAGCUAGUUGGUAAGGUAACGGCUUACCAAGGCAACGAUGCAUAGCCGAACUGAGAGGGUGGUCGGCCACACUGGAACUGAGACACGGUCCAGACUCCUACGGGAGGCAGCAAUAGGGAAUCUUGCGCAAUGGGCGGAAGCCUGACGGAGCAACGCCGCGUGAGUGAUGAAGGUCGUCGGAUCGUAAAACUCUGUUAUUAGGGAGGAACAUAUGUGUAAGUAACUGGGCGCAUCUUGACGGUACCUAAUCAGAAAGCCACGGCUAACUACGUG
rnacentral:rRNA from 1 species